CAAGCAAUGAAUGAGUGGAGAGCCCAUGCAGCUAAGAAAUUUGUUCCAUGCCCCACAGCUUGUGACUGUGGGACUCUGUGGACAUGAAGCCUGGCUUGUAACUUCACACCUUCAUUGGGGUAGCAAGCUGGUCUGAAGCUCAAGACCACAUGAAGCCCUACAGAGUCUGCUCCCUCCUGCUUCCUGUUCCUCUACACCGCUGGCUCUGACUUGGGUGACAAUAAACUUGCCAGAUGAUGUCUUCUAGAAA
ensembl:antisense 1700034H15Rik RIKEN cDNA 1700034H15 gene